CACGUAGGGUGCGAGCGUUGUCCGGAAUUAUUGGGCGUAAAGAGCUCGUAGGCGGUGUGUCGCGUCGGCCGUGAAAACCUGCAGCUUAACUGUGGGCUUGCGGUCGAUACGGGCAUCACUGGAGUUCGGCAGGGGAGACUGGAAUUCCUGGUGUAGCGGUGAAAUGCGCAGAUAUCAGGAGGAAGACCGGUGGCGAAGGCGGCCUGCUGGGCAGUUACUGACACUGAGGCGCGACAGCGUGGGGAGCAAACAGG
rnacentral:rRNA from 1 species